rnacentral:rRNA from 1 species
UAGGGAAUCUUCCANAAUGGACGCAAGUCUGAUGGAGCAACGCCGCGUGAGUGAAGAAGGUUUUCGGACCGUAAAGCUCUGUUGUUGGUGAAGAAGGAUAGAGGUAGUAACUGGCCUUUAUUUGACGGUAAUCAACCAGAAAGUCACGGCUAACUACAUGCCAGCAGCCGCGGUAAUACGUAGGUGGCAAGCGUUGUCCGGAUUUAUUGGGCGUAAAGCGAGCGCAGGCGGAAGAAUAAGUCUGAUGUGAAAGCCCUCGGCUUAACCGAGGAAUUGCAUCGGAAACUGUUUUCUUGAGUGCAGAAGAGGAGAGUAGAACUCCAUGUGUAGCGGUGGAAUGCGUAGAUAUAUGGAAGAAUACCAGUGGCGAAGGCGGCUCUCUGGUCU